GACGAACGCUGGCGGCGUGCCUAACACAUGCCAGUCGAACGGAAAGACCAUGCUUUUGUGGGGUUCUCGAGUGGGGAGCGGGUGAGUGACACGUGUGUAACCUGCCCCUGACUGUGGGGUAACUUCUGGAAACUGGGGCUAAUACCACAUAGGAGCUCCUGCAGCACGGUGGGGGGGGGAAAGUUUCGGCGGUUGGGGAUGGACGCGCGGCUUAUCAGCUUGUUUGGGGGGUAGUGGCUUACCCAGGCUUUGACGGGUAGCCGGCCUGAGAGGGGUACCGGCGACAUGGGGACUGAGAUACGGCGCAGACUGGUACGGGAGGCAGCAGGGGGAAACAUUGCGCAAUGGGCGGAAGCGUGAUGCAGAAGCGUCGCGUGCGUGAUGACGUCCUUCGGGUGGUAAACCGCUUUCGCCUGUGACGAAGCGUGAGUGACGGUAAUGGGUAAAGAAGCACCGGCUAACUACGUG
rnacentral:rRNA from 1 species